UAAGGAAUAUUGGUCAAUGGACGCAAGUCUGAACUAGCCAUGCCGCGUGAAGGAUGAAGGUCCUCUGGAUUGUAAACUUCUUUUAUCUGGGACGAAAACGGGAUUUUUAUCUCAAUUGACGGUACCAGAAGAAUAAGCACCGGCUAACUCCGUGCCAGCAGCCGCGGUAAUACGGAGGGUGCGAGCGUUAUCCGGAUUUACUGGGUUUAAAGGGUGCGUAGGUGGGCUUAUAAGUCAGUGGUGAAAUCUCCGAGCUUAACUUGGAAACUGCCGUUGAUACUAUAGGUCUUGAAUUAUCUGGAGGUAAGCAGAAUAUGUCAUGUAGCGGUGAAAUGCUUAGAUAUGACAUAGAACACCAAUUGCGAAGGCAGCUUACUACAUAUAAAUUGACGCUGAGGCACGAAAGCGUGGGGAUCAAACA
rnacentral:rRNA from 1 species